rnacentral:rRNA from 1 species
GACGAACGCUGGCGGCGUGCUUAACACAUGCAAGUCGAACGGAAAGGCCCUGCUCUUGUGGGGUGCUCGAGUGGCGAACGGGUGAGUAACACGUGAGUAACCUGCCCUUGACUUUGGGAUAACUUCAGGAAACUGGGGCUCAUAUCGGAUAGGAGCUCCUGCUGCACGGUGGGGGUUGGAAAGUUUCGGCGGUUGGGGAUGGACUCGCGGGUUAUCAGCUUGUUGGUGGGGUAGUGGCUUACCAAGGCUUUGACGGGUAGCCGGCCUGAGAGGGUGAACGGCCACAAUGGGACUGAGAGACGGCCCAGACGGCUACGGGAGGCAGCAGGCGAGAGUAUUGCACAAUGGGCGGAAGCCUGAUGCAGCAACGCCGCGUGCGGGAUGACGGCCUUCGGGUUGUAAACCACUGUCGCCUGUGACGAAGCGUGAUUGACGGUAAUGGGUAAAGAAGCACCGGCUAACUACGUG